AGGGGGAUAACACUUGGAAACAGGUGCUAAUACCGCAUAACCAUAGUUACCGCAUGGUAACUAUGUAAAAGGUGGCUAUGCUACCGCUUUUGGAUGGGCCCGCGGUGCAUUAGCUAGUUGGUAGGGUAAUGGCCUACCAAGGCAACGAUGCAUAGCCGACCUGAGAGGGUGAUCGGCCACACUGGGACUGAGACACGGCCCAGACUCCUACGGGAGGCAGCAGUAGGGAAUCUUCCGCAAUGGACGAAAGUCUGACGGAGCAACGCCGCGUGUAUGAAGAAGGUUUUCGGAUCGUAAAGUACUGUUGUUAGAGAAGGACAGGGAUAAGAGUAACUGCUUGUCCCUUGACGGUACCUAACCAGAAAGCCACGGCUAACUACGUGCCAGCAGCCGCGGUAAUACGUAGGUGGCAAGCGUUGUCCGGAUUUAUUGGGCGUAAAGCGCGCGCAGGCGGUCUUUUAAGUCUGAUGUGAAAGCCCCCGGCUUAACCGGGGAGGGUCAUUGGAAACUGAAAGACUGGAGUGCAGAAGAGGAGAGUGGAAUUCCACGUGUAGCGGUGAAAUGCGUAGAUAUGUGGAGGAACACCAGUGGCGAAGGCGACUCUCUGGUCUGUAACUGACGCUGAGGCGCGAAAGCGUG
rnacentral:rRNA from 1 species